UACGUAGGGUGCGAGCGUUAAUCGGAAUUACUGGGCGUAAAGCGUGCGCAGGCGGUGAUGUAAGACAGGGGUGAAAUCCCCGGGCUUAACCUGGGAACUGCGCUUGUUACUGGCAGACUUGAGUGUGGCAGAGGGGGGUGGAAUUCCAGGUGUAGCAGUGAAAUGCGUAGAUAUCUGGAGGAACACCGAUGGCGAAGGCAGCCCCCUGGGCUAACACUGACGCUGAUGCACGAAAGCGUGGGGAGCAAACAGG
rnacentral:rRNA from 1 species